GGGCCCCGUAGCAAUACGGACCGGCAGACGGGAGAGUAACACGUGGGAACGUACCCUGUGGUUCGGAACAACCCAGGGGAAACUUGGGCUAAUACCGAAUAAGCCCUUACGGGGAAAGAUUUAUCGCCGAAGGAUCGGCCCGCGUCUGAUUAGCUAGUUGGUGGGGUAACGGCCCACCAAGGCGACGAUCAGUAGCUGGUCUGAGAGGAUGAUCAGCCUCAUUGGGACUGAGACACGGCCCAAACUCCUACGGGAGGCAGCAGUGGGGAAUAUUGGACAAUGGGCGCAAGCCUGAUCCAGCCAUGCCGCGUGGGUGAUGAAGGCCCUAGGGUUGUAAAGCCCUUUCGGCGGGGAAGAUAAUGACGGUACCCGCAGAAGAAGCCCCGGCUAACUUCGUG
rnacentral:rRNA from 1 species